CUCAAAUCUGUAUAACCUCCUUUCUCAAAUUAUUUUGAGUUUGUUACCCAAUUCCAUCUGGUCAAUUUAAUCAAGUUGAACAUUUACCAUCUACUUUAUCUGCUUAUCCUCUGUUUAAUCCAAAUGAAGAAGACAAGGACCCUCAUUAGACAUCCCCAACCUCUGACUUCAACCAACCUUAUACUAGACAAGUCGAACACCAUAUGCUGGAAACACUCACUGACCUCAAGUUUGCUUUCAUUUUCAAGAGAUAAAUGGAGGUCUGCUCUCCAAGAUGUGAUUGUGGCCACUUACUUUAUGUGACAGGCUUCUGGAAGGAAAUAAAGGAAAGAAAUGGCAGAAGGAAGGAGAAAAGUUUCUUCAGUCUCUGCUUUCCAUCUUCUUCUUUCUCUCCAGAUUGCUCAACAGGUACACUGAUCUUUAAAGAUGUCCAAUCUGGAAGGAGGUGACUGUGUUCGGUGAUCCUGAGCUUCUAAAACAAAGGCUUUGAGGCCUGGUGCAGUGGCUCAAGUCUGUAAUCCCAGCACUUGGGGAGGCUGAGGUGGGCAGAUCACUGGCCAGCAGGAGUUUGCGACCAGUCCAGCCAACAUGGCACAAUUCCGUCUCUACUAAAAAUACAAAAAUUAGCUGGGCAUGGUGGUGCGCGUCUAUAAUCCCAGCUACUCGGGAG
rnacentral:lncRNA from 13 species